rnacentral:rRNA from 1 species
GACGAACGCUGGCGGCGUGCUUAACACAUGCAAGUCGAGCGGUAAGGCCCUUUCGGGGGUACGACGAGCGGCGAACGGGUGAGUAACACGUGGGUGACCUGCCCUCAGCUCUGGGAUAAGCCUGGGAAACCGGGUCUAAUACUGGAUAUGACUCCAUGACGCAUGUUGUGGGGUGGAAAGCCUUGUGCGGCUGAGGAUGGGCCCGCGGCCUAUCAGCUUGUUGGUGGGGUGAGGCCUACCAAGGCGACGACGGGUAGCCGGCCUGAGAGGGCGACCGGCCACACUGGGACUGAGAUACGGCCCAGACUCCUACGGGAGGCAGCAGUGAGGAAUAUUGCGCAAU